UACGUAGGGUGCGAGCGUUAAUCGGAAUUACUGGGCGUAAAGCGUGCGCAGGCGGUUUUGUAAGCCAGAUGUGAAAUCCCCGGGCUUAACCUGGGAAUGGCAUUUGGGACUGCAAGGCUGGAGUGCGGCAGAGGAGACUGGAAUUCCUGGUGUAGCAGUGAAAUGCGUAGAUAUCGGGAAGAACACCCGUGGCGAAGGCGGCUCUCGUGGGACGGUACUGACGCUGAGACGCGAAAGCGUGGGGAGCGAACAGGG
rnacentral:rRNA from 1 species